AGUAAAUAGAUACCCGGGUAGUCCACGCCGUAAACGAUGUCGACUUGGAGGUUGUGCCCUGAGGCGUGGCUUCCGGAGCUAAACGCGUUAAAGUCGACCGCCUGGGGGAGUACGGCCGCAAGGUUAAAACUCAAAUGAAUUGACGGGGGCCCGCACAAGCGGUGGAGCAUGUGGUUUAAUUCGAUGCAACGCGAAGAACCUUACCUACUCUUGACAUCCAGAGAACUUUCCAGAGAUGGAUUGGUGCCUUCGGAACUCUGAGACAGGUGCUGCAUGGCUGUCGUCAGCUCGUGUUGUGAAAUGUUGGGUUAAGUCCCGCAACGAGCGCAACCCUUAUCUUUUGUUGCCAGCGGUUAGGUCCGGGAGCUCAAAGGAGACUGCCAGUGAUAAACUGGAGGAAGGUGGGGAUGACGUCAAGUCAUCAUGGCCCUUACGAGUAGGGCGUACACACGUGCUACAAUGGCGCAUA
rnacentral:rRNA from 1 species